rnacentral:rRNA from 1 species
UACGUGGGGCGCAAGCGUUGUCCAGAAUUAUUGGGCGUAAAGAGCUCGUAGGUGGCUUGUCACGUCGGGUGUGAAAGCUUGGGGCUUAACUCCAGGUCUGCAUUCGAUACGGGCUGGCUAGAGGUAGGUAGGGGAGAACGGAAUUCCUGGUGUAGCGGUGAAAUGCGCAGAUAUCAGGAGGAACACCGGUGGCGAAGGCGGUUCUCUGGGCCUUACCUGACGCUGAGGAGCGAAAGCGUGGGGAGCGAACAGG